rnacentral:tRNA from 1 species
GGGCUCAUGGUCCAAGGGGAAGAUGCCGCCCUGGCGUGGCGGAGAUCCCAGUUCGACUCUGGGUGGGUCCA